GUAGGGAGCGUUCUCAUGAUAGGACAGGGUACAAGCAAGUGAUGUCUCUCGCAGGGGGUUGUAUCGAACCGUGGGUCCUGUUGUUAAAGAAGAACAUAAAUAGUGGAAAAGAGAACUGAAUCGUUCAGUUUGCUUCUUCUGGUCAAAACCGUUCUUGAUCCUACAAAAAAUGAUAACAAGAGUAUGGAUCAUAUGUACUUGCUCGGUUGUGAUUUUUUUACUGGUGAUCGACUGUCAUUGCAUUCAGAAGCAGACCAUCUUAUCUAAGAACUGGGGGCCACAGUCAAUGCUUUACCUAAAGGGAAAACAUGGAAGGCGGUUUGUUCCUGACAUUGAAGACAUUAUUGCAAAUUCCGGGUUGAAAAGCUGGGUUUCAGAAAAUGAAGUUGCUGAAUGCAAGAAAACCAUCAGAAAUCUUCACAACACAGAACUUUGUAUUUCGUUAGCUGAAGCGUAAAGGGGAACUUUGUACAUUGUGC